GAUAGAGUGUUGGGGAAUUUCAUUUGACUCAUACAUGUCUCAUACAUGGGUCUGAAUAUAAGAUGCUGUAAUGCUAGAGAAAACCAGGCCUAAGGAUAUGAGAUGAACAGAAAAUUAGGCCUGAGGGGAGGUUAGAUAAGGACAGGAGAAGAAACUGGGUGAAAGGACAUGAAAAAGGCAGGUUGGUUAAGGACAGGAGAAGAAACUGGGUGAAAGGGCAUGGAAAAGUACCUGAAAAUCAUGUAUAAAGCCAUUUUUAAAAGAUACGCAUGCGCAAAGAAGGUUGCCCCAAUUAAAAAUAAAAUAACGAUG